CAGAGUGAAGCUUAAAAGAAAGCAUUUCAUUUACAUUGAAAAGAAAUUUGUGCAAUUCGAACUAUUCUGA
rnacentral:tRNA from 1 species